UGUGGCCACAUUGUAAGUGCUGUGUGA
rnacentral:piRNA from 1 species